AGAGAAGGGGCUCUGUUUAUCCACAAACACCUUGACAACUUGCAGUGAUGGAAAAGGAGACGCAGCUCUGGAAAUGCUGAGUUUUCUGUGUGAAUGACACAGAUGCAGAGAGCAUUUCAAGGUAUCGCUUUGGGCAGAUGUUUGGGUGCUACCAAAUAUAACGCAGGCCGUUUAAAAUUCAGGAACAAACUCAAGAGAAACAGGGAUAUCAGAGUUUCUGGAUUGUCAUGAGGAUUAUUGGUAAUAUACAUGGAGCUGGAAGCACAUGAUCACUUUUUAAGUGAACUUGCAACAAUGACAAAUUCUCCGGACCAUACUCUAUUGUAGUUCAUCAGUGAGCACCCUAAUUUGAAAUGCAAGUCCAGCAAAUUUUGGGAUCAUAAGAGUUGUGACUUCUGGCCAAAUUUUGACCCACCAAUUAGAUAUUAUGCUAUUCAAGCCUGUACACCAAGAGGCAUCAAUGCAGGGGACCCUGCAUGCUACAGUGUAACCCUGGUGAAGGAUUAUAAACACAGAAGUGCGUCCUGGAGGCAAGCAUGUUGGAGGAGCAUGCAGAGG